AAGGCAACAAAUUUGAGAUAUGAAUAUAAGCAAUUCAGAAAUAGGUGGGAUUCUUUGAAAAAGGAAUGACAAUUAUGGGCUAAGCUUAUUGGGAAGGACACAGGUCUUGGCUGGGAUGGGGAGAAGAAAACCAUUGCAGCUAGUGAUGAAUGGUGGGAAGCCAAAAUUCAAGAGGAUCCUGAAGUAGCAAAGUUUAGAGAGCAAGGUCUCAAAUUUUUACCUGAGAUGAAAUUCCUUUUUAAAGGUACUAUUGCUACUGGUUUUGCAGCAUAUGCACCAUCUGAAGAUUCAAGACAAUAUGAAGGAUUCAACACAAGAACAGAAGAGACAAAUGAUAACAUUGAUGAUAACACUGACAUGGAAGUGAAUGAGCUUGAGAUAGACACGACAACUCAUAACACGUCUUCGGCAAAGGAAAAUGGACAGAGGAAGAGAGGGUGAUAAAAGAAUUGGGGUUGCUGCCAAGCUUUCCUCACAAUUAGAUCGUAUUAUUCAAACAUUUGAAUCUAGUGUAUCUGCUCAAGACCCAACUAGCAUUACUGCAUGUGUAGCAAAGUUGAAAGAUCUACCAGGACUUGAGCAUGGGAGUGAACUAUUUUACAAAGCCACUAAACUUAUGGAAAAAAGGGCAAACAGGAUCACCUUUGUUGCUUUAGAAGAUCCUGAGCUACAACUUGGAUGGAUCAAGUCUGAAACUUAAGCACAAAUUCCUUAGUUUCUCCUCUAUUUGAUAUCAUUGACACUUGCUAAUUUUGCUUGGUUAUGAACCUUGGUUGUGUUAUGGAUCUUAGUUUUUAAUUUCAGUUAUGUCAUGGAUCUUUGAUUUUAAUUUUGGUUAUGUUAUGGAUAUUAGUUAUGGUUUGGCUCUUGAUUUUUUUA